UACAGAGGGUGCGAGCGUUAAUCGGAAUUACUGGGCGUAAAGCGCGCGUAGGCGGCUUUUCAAGCCGAUUGUGAAAUCCCCGGGCUUAACCUGGGAACUGCAGUCGGGACUGUCUAGCUAGAGUAUGGGAGAGGGAAGUGGAAUUUCAGGUGUAGCGGUGAAAUGCGUAGAUAUCUGAAGGAACAUCAGUGGCGAAAGCGACUUCCUGGACCAAUACUGACGCUCAUAUGCGAAAGCAUAAAGAGCAAACAGG
rnacentral:rRNA from 1 species